GUGCUCGCUUCGGCAGCACAUAUGCUAAAAUUGGAACAAUAGAGAAGAUUAGCAUGGCCCUGGCUCAAGGAUGACACACAAAUUUGUGAAGCAUUCCGUAUUUUG
rnacentral:snRNA from 1 species